rnacentral:rRNA from 1 species
CCGGGUGAGGAUACCGGACUGGGAAACACCCGUUCCCAUUCCGAAUACGGCCGUUAAGCCAGUCCGGGCCGAUGGUAGUAAGGGGGCGACCCUUUGCAAGAGUAGGUCAUUGCCCGGC